rnacentral:rRNA from 1 species
UACGAAGGGGGCUAGCGUUGUUCGGAUUUACUGGGCGUAAAGCGCACGUAGGCGGAUCGUUAAGUUGGGGGUGAAAUCCUGGAGCUCAACUCCAGAACUGCCUUUGAUACUGAAGAUCUUGAGUUCGGGAGAGGUGAGUGGAACUGCGAGUGUAGAGGUGAAAUUCGUAGAUAUUCGCAAGAACACCAGUGGCGAAGGCGGCUCACUGGCCCGAUACUGACGCUGAGGCACGAAAGCGUGGGGAGCAAACAGG